rnacentral:rRNA from 1 species
UAGGGAAUCUUCGGCAAUGGACGGAAGUCUGACCGAGCAACGCCGCGUGAGUGAAGAAGGUUUUCGGAUCGUAAAGCUCUGUUGUUAGAGAAGAACGUUGGUAGGAGUGGAAAAUCUACCAAGUGACGGUAACUAACCAGAAAGGGACGGCUAACUACGUGCCAGCAGCCGCGGUAAUACGUAGGUCCCGAGCGUUGUCCGGAUUUAUUGGGCGUAAAGCGAGCGCAGGCGGUUCUUUAAGUCUGAAGUUAAAGGCAGUGGCUUAACCAUUGUACGCUUUGGAAACUGGAGGACUUGAGUGCAGAAGGGGAGAGUGGAAUUCCAUGUGUAGCGGUGAAAUGCGUAGAUAUAUGGAGGAACACCGGUGGCGAAAGCGGCUCUCUGGUCUGUAACUGACGCUGAGGCUCGAAAGCGUGGGGAGCAAACAGGAUUAGAUACCCUGGUAGUCCACGCCGUAACGAUGAGUGCUAGGUGUUAGGCCCUUUCCGGGGCUUAGUGCCGCAGCUAACGCAUUAAGCACUCCGCCUGGGGAGUACGACCGCAAGGUUG